rnacentral:rRNA from 1 species
UACAUGUGGGGCAAGCGUUGUUCGGAAUUACUGGGCAUAAAGGGUGCGUAGGCGGUUUGUUAAGUCACUGGUGAAAGUUUUCGGCCCAACCGGAAAAUUGCCUGUGAUACUGGCGAACUUGAGUGCGUGAGGGGUGGGGGGAACUGCGAGUGUAGAGGUGAAAUUCGUAGAUAUUCGCAAGAACACCAGUGGCGAAGGCGGCUCACUGGCCCGAUACUGACGCUGAGGCACGAAAGCGUGGGGGAGCAAACAGG